CGGGAGUGGCCACAUCGAGCUGAGUGGGACUUGGGAGGAAAGGGUGUUGAGGUCCCCCGGAUGAAUCGGGAGAAGCAAUUACCGGUACAGGUCGCAUCCGGAACAACCCCGCCCUGGGCCGGGCCACACUUUUCCUGCAAGUGCUCCGGGCGGCGGGGCGAGUGGGGCUGGUGAGAGGAAGGCGCACGUUCAGAUCCAACCCCUUUGGCGGAAAGGGAGGCACCCCCCACACACACGCGCGGAGUGAGCUCCGCCAGAGUUAAGAGCUCCACUGUGGGGAGAAGCGGCCAUUUGUGGUCCCAGCUGCAGAGCUGCUGCGAGACCCGAGCAGCCUGGGUCUGAGCCGGCGCCCGCUAGACCACGGUGAGGAGGGGUCCUGGAGCGGAGGCGGCGCGCGGCGGCAGCGCGAGGGCGCACUGACACCUGCCGGCCGCACGCCGGCACCGCUGCGAGUCUACCCGCGGGCGCCCGGAGCCUACUCCCGCCCCUGCGACUGCCUUCUCUCAUCUCAGGGCAAGUUUGGGUCCAAGCUCGGGGACAGAGAACCCAGAUUUUUUAUUGCACUUUGUCAUAUUGCAGAAAUCUUCCUAAUGCAUACACUCUUGUGUGGCUCCCUCUCCCCGGCGAGAGUGAGGCUUGGGCUGAUGAAGACACAUCAGGAAGAGGGCUCUGAUGCCUGCAGAGCUGGCAGCCCACCCUGCCGAUACAGGGCAACCCACGUUUCUCGCAGAUCCCGGAGGCCUGGAUCCUGCCUGACGGGUUGCUCUGCUCUGGUCUUCUCUGAACCAUUGUGUCUUUGUUGAGGCCGAAAGCUAGACUUCGCCCCCCACCACAUCUGCAUUUCAGAUGCACGCACACCAGUCUUUCAGUAAGACGAGGAUGCUGCCCGAGAGAAAAGAGAAUGUUUUCCACGUUCCCUCUGAUAGGAAUAGAAUGGAGAGGGGAAAGUAUUUUACUCUACUCUCUUUUGAGAAAUGCAAAAAAGCAAAAUCACUGUCUGGGGAGGCCUUACAAAUAGCUGUGAAAAGAGAAGUGAAAAGCAAAUGAGAAAAGGAAAGAUAUAAGCAUCUGAAUGCAGAAUUCCAAAGAACAGCAAGGAGAGAUAAGAAAGCCUUCCUCAGCAAUCAAUGCAAAGAAAUAAGAAAACAACAGAAUGGGAAAGACUAGAGAUCUCUUCAAGAAAAUUAGAGAUACCAAGGGAAAAUUUCAUGCAAAGAUGGGCUCGAUAAAGGACAGAAAUGGUCUGGACCUAACAGAAGCAGAAGAUAUUAAGAAGAGGUGGCAAGAAUACACAGAAGAACUGCACAAAAAAGAUCUUCAC
ensembl:lncRNA